rnacentral:lncRNA from 1 species
AUGGCGGGGGUCUUUGGACCUUGGCCUCCAGGCAGACUGCUCAGAGAAGGGAAGAGGACAGACUACAAGGCAGAGCCUCUGAGCAGACGCAAGAAAGGCCCUGGGAGACUGGAGCCAUGCCUAACACCAGCCCCUGCCCACAUUCCCCGUCGGAUGGGGCUUGUGCUGGGGUCUGCCUGGAUCGCCUGCUCAUCCACGAGGCAGGGAAGAAGCAGCACGCGGCUCCUCUCCCACUCAGGACGUGGGCUGUACACUGCACUUCUUUGGGCUUCAGCUUCUGCAUCGGUAAAGCACACCGAGGGACAUUCAUACUUCACCAGAUUCUUGAGUGAUUUAAAUAACCCCCUACAAACAAGCGCUUAGAACAGAGCCUGCAAAUACCAAACCCUCACUAUUUAUCUGUUGUUUUCACCAUUUAAUAAACUAAUCCCCGACAUAGGUACAGUGGUUAGAAUCGUGUCACAGAGGAGAAAACUGAUUUGAGAGACAAUAAUGGUUUACCUAAUGGCGUCCAGAAUGCAAGUGCCUGGGAUUCCUGAACUGACUGUCCAACUCGAGGGCUAUUAUUACCUCUUUGUUUUUAGAUAAGAAGGCAAUGGUGUGUGUCUUGACAUUCUGUAGAGUAAUUCUACAGUUUACCUAAAAGAAUAAGGAAGAAAUGUUUGUUUAAAAAAAUAGAAAAAUAAUGGGUGAUAAGUCAUACAUGAUUGCAUCAAAAAGGUAAACAUUUCUAUGUGAAAAUAGAAGAUAAUUAGGGUGAAGGCAGUGUUCUUUAUCUUGAUUGUGGGGUUACACAACUAUAAUUGUAGCCAAAAUUUUUUAAAAUUUACAUUUAAAAGGGGAGAAUUUUGUGUGUGAAAAUUAUACCACCAUAAAAACUUGAGAAAAAGGUAAUUAUAAUUUAAAAAGGAAGAAAUCAACUAGGCAGAAAUGUUGCCUAUAACAUAUUUGCUAGAGCACCAACCAAAGCCAAACAAUCAUAACCUAUGGCCCAGCAGUUCUAGCCCUGAGUAUACACCCAGAAAGGAGCACAUAUCUGCCAGGUGAAAUGUAAAGAGAUGUUCCUAGUUGCUUUAUCUGUAAUAGCUCCAGAUUACAAACAACCCAAAUUUCCAUCAACAAUAGAAUGGUUAAGAAAUCGUGGUAUUCAGACAAUAGAAAACUACAGAGAAAUGAAAAAGAAUGAACUCAAUAUAUAACAUAGACGAAUUUUCCAAACCUAAUGUUUCAUUUCAGAAGCUUAACCCAACCAAACACACACAGGAUGGCUCCAUGUGUAAGAAGUCUGGAACACGCUAAGCUGGUCCACAAUGACAAAAAAGUCAUGACUUGGCAGUGGCCACUGCUAACUGGCAGGGGACAUGGGAAGCCUUAGGGUGCUGGGACUGUCCUAUAUCUCCACCUGGGAGUUAGUUAUAUGGGUGUGUACAUAUGUAAAUAUUGGUUGAGCUAUGUAUUUAAGAACAUUCACUUUUCUCUAUGUUAAGUUACACAUAAAAAAGACCUAAUCUGAAUUUUUUAAAAUGGGCAAAGGACUUGAGAUCAGGAAAGAAGCAAUCUUAACUGACUUAACUAUUAUGGACACAUAGUUACACAUGCCAAAUCACUAAUCACACAAAUGCAAAUGAAAAGUUUUUCUGAAAUUAUAAUGCCUCUAUUUGAGGGACAUGAAGUUAUGCGCAAGGCCCUGAGAUGAAGAUUUUUGAGGCAAGUGAUUCUCAAGGAACUUCUGAAACAAGAACCCAGAAAGCAGAAAAGGAAGAGGAAGAAGAUGCCAAGAAAGGGCACAGUUUCAGGAGAUCUUGCCUGCUCAGCACUGUCCCGUGGGAACUGUGAGAUGCAUUGACUCCACAUACAGUGGACUCUCGAGUUAGACUGGACUAACAUAUGAACGACUUGGGUUAUGACCGGAAUUUUAGUUUUAACUUAUAACCAAAGUCUUGAGUUACCAUCCAAAUGCCUGCCACUUGUUCUUCCAGAUGGUCUCAGAUACAAAUUUAACCCUUAAAGAGUGCUGGAGGGAAUAUGACAACAUCCUUUUCUGUGUGGGGUUCACUGAGAAAUCCUGGGCCAAUGUCUCUCUAAGGACACUGAGAUCUGCCAGUGUACAGGAGAGAGACUUUGAGGGCUGUGUAGAGGAGGCUGACCCUUCAAUUGACCAACUUGAGUUACAGCCAGCGAACUGAGUUUGUAAGUCAAGGGUCCAUGGUAUUUUAUUCUGUCUCAAGGUGAAUCCUCUAGGCUUUCAUAGUCUCUAGUGCUCAGGGCCAUUGACUCUCGCUCCCGCACAGACUUCUAGCUUGCAGUGCCCUGGGCAGUUCUCUGCAGAAGGGAGCGGGGGAUGGGCACAGAGAGACAAACAAGCAGAAGGAUCCUAGUCAGAGCUCUGGUAAGCUUCUGUGAUAACUGCCUUGCUGCAGGGUUGGAGAUUAUCAACCUGAAGGUUUCAUCUUUGCACAAGAUUGAACUGACCAAUUGCGACAGAAAAGCCAGUGGAGAAAUAAAGUCAGGAGUGAAUGACCGAAUGGUCUUUCCUGGAAAAGGCUAGGUCUUCAGUGUAACCUCUCCACAUUUUAUGUGAAAUAGGUGCUUUGUUCCCAGUGUUGGCAGAAGGGAGAUGUGGGAGAUUUGUGGACAAUGAAGUGAGGAGUGGAUUCCUUGGGGAAGGACUCAGAUCCUAGUUAAAUCUUGGAAUCGAUGAGUCAUGGCUAUGUCACAGCAGAGCGUUUGGGUUGUGAAACUGAGUGUGUUCUUCCUGGCGGGCCUAUUCGGUCACCCUCAAUCCUUGUCCCCAAGCGCAGUCCCUUCUGUCCUGGAGUUCUUUGCUCCUAACUGCGUUUGAUCUUCAUGACAUCUUGUGAGGCAGCAAGAUCAGCUGUUUUCCAGAUGAGUAAACUGAGGCCAGAUAGGUUAACUUCUUGUUCCUCAAAUUCAGCAGCACAUUGCAAUCAUUUGCUGGAGUUUUGUAAACUGUUACUUGGAAUGCUUGUGUAUGAGGACCAAUUGCUGUUUUUAAAACAGUUCCCAAGGUGAUCCUGAAAUACAGCCAGAUCUGGAAAAAGAGGGAUUACAUGACAUUUCCAGUGUCCUGAGAGAAUAAGAGAACACUCAUUCUUGGGUCAUUAAUCUAUCCUUUUCACUCAUUCACCCAUUUAUGGAGCAUUUACUGCGAAUAC